AUGCUGCUCCGAGCCCAAAACCUAAGGCAACCGCUAUGGGAAUGGGCCGAUUGACUGGCCGUAUGGCGCAGUCAGCCAGGGCUUUGCUGGAAACGGCGGAACCUUCCGUGUUUGAAAAGGAGAAGGUGU
rnacentral:ncRNA from 1 species